UGCGUAGGUGGUUGUUUAAGUCUGUUGUGAAAGCCCUGGGCUCAACCUGGGAACUGCAGUGGAAACUGGACGACUAAAGUGUGGUAGAGGGUAGCGGAAUUCCUGGUGUAGCAGUGAAAUGCGUAGAGAUCAGGAGGAACAUCCAUGGCGAAGGCAGCUACCUGGACCAACACUGACACUGAGGCACGAAAGCGUGGGGAGCAAACA
rnacentral:rRNA from 1 species